rnacentral:sRNA from 1 species
GUAUUGCAUCCUACAGAUGUGCUGUAAACAUCAAAAGAAGACGGUGGGAUCAGGAGAUGCUGUUUUGGAAAGAAGUGAGGUUUAGACUUCUCCAUGUUAACCAUGAGCGUGACACUUUCCCCCCUGAGGUCACAGGACCUGGAUCCCAUGGCUACUGAUGCUUCACCCAUGGCCAUCAACAUGACACCCACUGUGGAGCAGGGUGAGGGAGAAGAGGCAAUGAAGGACAUGGACUCUGACCAGCAGUAUGAAAAGCCACCCCCACUACACACAGGGGCUGACUGGAAGAUUGUCCUCCACUUACCUGAAAUUGAGACCUGGCUCCGGAUGACCUCAGAGAGGGUCCGAGACCUAACCUAUUCAGUCCAGCAGGAUUCGGACAGCAAGCAUGUGGAUGUACAUCUAGUUCAACUAAAGGUAAGGCAAGGUCUGUGAUCCUCUCAGGAUAGAAGUUUUCAAAAGGCUGUGGCACCUAGAGACUGUGUUCUGUAAUUUCCAGUGAGGAAUUGUCCAGGAAGAAAAGCACAGUAACAGGUUUCAAACCAUUAUCUUUAGAGGUAAACAUGGAAAUAAUUAAUUCUU